UGGUUCCCUCCGAAGUUUCCCU
rnacentral:snRNA from 1 species